rnacentral:rRNA from 1 species
UAGGGAAUCUUCCACAAUGGACGCAAGUCUGAUGGAGCAACGCCGCGUGAGUGAAGAAGGUUUUCGGAUCGUAAAGCUCUGUUGUUGGUGAAGAAGGAUAGAGGUAGUAACUGGCCUUUAUUUGACGGUAAUCAACCAGAAAGUCACGGCUAACUACGUGCCAGCAGCCGCGGUAAUAAGUAGGUGGCAAGCGUUGUCCGGAUUUAUUGGGCGUAAAGCGAGCGCAGGCGGAAGAAUAAGUCUGAUGUGAAAGCCCUCGGCUUAACCGAGGAACUGCAUCGGAAACUGUUUUUCUUGAGUGCAGAAGAGGAGAGUGGAAUUCCAUGUGUAGCGGUGGAAUGCGUAGAUAUAUGGAAGAACACCAGUGGCGAAGGCGACUCUCUGGUCUGCAACUGACGCUGAGGCUCGAAAGCAUGGGUAGCGAACAGG